GGGGGCGUAGCUCAGUUGGGAGAGCACCUGCCUUGCAAGCAGGGGGUCAAGAGUUCGAAUCUCUCCGUCUCCA
rfam:Eubacterium ventriosum ATCC 27560 Scfld026 genomic scaffold, whole genome shotgun sequence.